rnacentral:rRNA from 1 species
AGCGUACACGGUGGAUGCCCUGGCAGUCAGAGGCGAUGAAGGACGUGCUAAUCUGCGAUAAGCGUCGGUAAGGUGAUAUGAACCGUUAUAACCGGCGAUUUCCGAAUGGGGAAACCCAGUGUGAUUCGUCACACUAUCAUUAACUGAAUCCAUAGGUUAAUGAGGCGAACCGGGGGAACUGAAACAUCUAAGUACCCCGAGGAAAAGAAAUCAACCGAGAUUCCCCCAGUAGCGGCGAGCGAACGGGGAGCAGCCCAGAGCCUGAAUCAGUGUGUGUGUUAGUGGAAGCGUCUGGAAAGGCGCGCGAUACAGGGUGACAGCCCCGUACACAAAAAUGCACAUGCUGUGAGCUCGAUGAGUAGGGCGGGACACGUGGUAUCCUGUCUGAAUAUGGGGGGACCAUCCUCCAAGGCUAAAUACUCCUGACUGACCGAUAGUGAACCAGUACCGUGAGGGAAAGGCGAAAAGAACCCCGGCGAGGGGAGUGAAAAAGAACCUGAAACCGUGUACGUACAAGCAGUGGGAGCACGCUUAGGCGUGUGACUGCGUACCUUUUGUAUAAUGGGUCAGCGACUUAUAUUCUGUAGCAAGGUUAACCGAAUAGGGGAGCCGAAGGGAAACCGAGUCUUAACUGGGCGUUAAGUUGCAGGGUAUAGACCCGAAACCCGGUGAUCUAGCCAUGGGCAGGUUGAAGGUUGGGUAACACUAACUGGAGGACCGAACCGACUAAUGUUGAAAAAUUAGCGGAUGACUUGUGGCUGGGGGUGAAAGGCCAAUCAAACCGGGAGAUAGCUGGUUCUCCCCGAAAGCUAUUUAGGUAGCGCCUCGUGAAUUCAUCUCCGGGGGUAGAGCACUGUUUCGGCAAGGGGGUCAUCCCGACUUACCAACCCGAUGCAAACUGCGAAUACCGGAGAAUGUUAUCACGGGAGACACACGGCGGGUGCUAACGUCCGUCGUGAAGAGGGAAACAACCCAGACCGCCAGCUAAGGUCCCAAAGUCAUGGUUAAGUGGGAAACGAUGUGGGAAGGCCCAGACAGCCAGGAUGUUGGCUUAGAAGCAGCCAUCAUUUAAAGAAAGCGUAAUAGCUCACUGGUCGAGUCGGCCUGCGCGGAAGAUGUAACGGGGCUAAACCAUGCACCGAAGCUGCGGCAGCGACGCUGAUGCGUUGUUGGGUAGGGGAGCGUUCUGUAAGCCUGCGAAGGUGUGCUGUGAGGCAUGCUGGAGGUAUCAGAAGUGCGAAUGCUGACAUAAGUAACGAUAAAGCGGGUGAAAAGCCCGCUCGCCGGAAGACCAAGGGUUCCUGUCCAACGUUAAUCGGGGCAGGGUGAGUCGACCCCUAAGGCGAGGCCGAAAGGCGUAGUCGAUGGGAAACAGGUUAAUAUUCCUGUACUUGGUGUUACUGCGAAGGGGGGACGGAGAAGGCUAUGUUGGCCGGGCGACGGUUGUCCCGGUUUAAGCGUGUAGGCUGGUUUUCCAGGCAAAUCCGGAAAAUCAAGGCUGAGGCGUGAUGACGAGGCACUACGGUGCUGAAGCAACAAAUGCCCUGCUUCCAGGAAAAGCCUCUAAGCAUCAGGUAACAUCAAAUCGUACCCCAAACCGACACAGGUGGUCAGGUAGAGAAUACCAAGGCGCUUGAGAGAACUCGGGUGAAGGAACUAGGCAAAAUGGUGCCGUAACUUCGGGAGAAGGCACGCUGAUAUGUAGGUGAAGUCCCUCGCGGAUGGAGCUGAAAUCAGUCGAAGAUACCAGCUGGCUGCAACUGUUUAUUAAAAACACAGCACUGUGCAAACACGAAAGUGGACGUAUACGGUGUGACGCCUGCCCGGUGCCGGAAGGUUAAUUGAUGGGGUUAGCGCAAGCGAAGCUCUUGAUCGAAGCCCCGGUAAACGGCGGCCGUAACUAUAACGGUCCUAAGGUAGCGAAAUUCCUUGUCGGGUAAGUUCCGACCUGCACGAAUGGCGUAAUGAUGGCCAGGCUGUCUCCACCCGAGACUCAGUGAAAUUGAACUCGCUGUGAAGAUGCAGUGUACCCGCGGCAAGACGGAAAGACCCCGUGAACCUUUACUAUAGCUUGACACUGAACAUUGAGCCUUGAUGUGUAGGAUAGGUGGGAGGCUUUGAAGUGUGGACGCCAGUCUGCAUGGAGCCGACCUUGAAAUACCACCCUUUAAUGUUUGAUGUUCUAACGUUGACCCGUGAUCCGGGUUGCGGACAGUGUCUGGUGGGUAGUUUGACUGGGGCGGUCUCCUCCUAAAGAGUAACGGAGGAGCACGAAGGUUGGCUAAUCCUGGUCGGACAUCAGGAGGUUAGUGCAAUGGCAUAAGCCAGCUUGACUGCGAGCGUGACGGCGCGAGCAGGUGCGAAAGCAGGUCAUAGUGAUCCGGUGGUUCUGAAUGGAAGGGCCAUCGCUCAACGGAUAAAAGGUACUCCGGGGAUAACAGGCUGAUACCGCCCAAGAGUUCAUAUCGACGGCGGUGUUUGGCACCUCGAUGUCGGCUCAUCACAUCCUGGGGCUGAAGUAGGUCCCAAGG